rnacentral:antisense_RNA from 1 species
AGAGAGGCUUCCGGGACGUUCGUUCUGGGGGCCUUUUUCUUUUGC